GGCUCUUUGAUUAGCAUAUAUAAAGAGUCGAGCCUGCCCAGUGAUGUAUUUAACGGCCGCGGUACUCUGACCGUGCAAAGGUAGCAUAAUCAUUUGCCUUAUAAUUGAAGGCUAGUAUGAAUGGUUUGACGAAAACAAAACUGUCUCUUUUUAAUUUUUUAGAACUUGAUUUUUAGGUGAAGAAGCCUAAAUACAAUUGAAAGACAAGAAGACCCUAUCGAGCUUUAAAAAAUUUUGUUAAAAUAAAAUAGAUAUAAAGACUAAUUAUAACAAAAAAUUUUAGUUGGGGCGACUAAGGAACAAAAAAGCUUCCAAUUUUAUACUUAUAACAUAUUGGUUUUGAUCCAAAAUUUUUGAUUAAAAGAAUUAGUUACCGUAGGGAUAACAGCAUAAUCUUUUUUGAGAGUUCUUAUCGAAAAAAAGGUUUGUGACCUCGAUGUUGGACUAGAAUAUCCUAAAUGGCGCAGAAGUCUUUAAGGGUUGGUCUGUUCGACCACUAAUAUUCUACGUGAUCUGAGUUCAGACCGG
rnacentral:rRNA from 1 species